UAAGUCAAAACUUUCAACAACGGAUCUCUUGGUUCUGCCAUCGAUGAAGAACGCAGCGAAAUGCGAUACGUAAUGUGAAUUGCAGAUUUCAGUGAAUCAUCGAAUCUUUGAACGCACAUUGCGCCCGCUAGUAUUCUGGCGGGCAUGCCUGUUCGAGCGUCAUUUCAACCA
rnacentral:rRNA from 1 species